AGGUGGAGAAACCGAUCCGAGUGAACCAGCUUCAGAGAUUAACGCUGUGGAAGACUCAGGAGAAAGAGAAGAAUUAAAGAACACGAGGAUCAAGUCACCAUGAUCAACAAGAAGUUCUGGACAUUCAAGCCUCCUCUGGAAGAGGACCGUGAAAACUACACCCUUCAAACCCUGACCGAUUAUCUGUAUUUACUCUACCUUAGCCAGCCACAUAUAUAUGAUCGCUGCCUCACUCUACUUGUGGAACUGAAAAUUAAAGACCUAAUGGCGGCCAAGAAGAGAGAGGCCAAGGCAAAAUCAUCAGACGAAGGGGCAACUGGCAGUGGGGCACCCGCCUCCCAGGAAAAGAAAAAAGGGCCAGAAGGCCAACAGGACUAAGACAGGAGCUCCCACCUGAGGCCGGGCACUCACAAGCCCCAUGCCUCCUGUCCGAGGCUUCCUCACAGAGGAUUGCCCAAACCCAACCUGGACAUUGGCCCUGAUGUGAUGAAAAAGUAAAUAAAAAUGCCUGGUGAAGGUU